rnacentral:rRNA from 1 species
GGAGGCAGCAGUGGGGAAUAUUGCACAAUGGGGGAAACCCUGAUGCAGCGACGCCGCGUGGAGGAAGAAGGUCUUCGGAUUGUAAACUCCUGUUGUUGAGGAAGAUAAUGACGGUACUCAACAAGGAAGUGACGGCUAACUACGUGCCAGCAGCCGCGGUAAAACGUAGGUCACAAGCGUUGUCCGGAAUUACUGGGUGUAAAGGGAGCGCAGGCGGGAAGACAAGUUGGAAGUGAAAUCCAUGGGCUCAACCCAUGAACUGCUUUCAAAACUGUUUUUCUUGAGUAGUGCAGAGGUAGGCGGAAUUCCCGGUGUAGCGGUGGAAUGCGUAGAUAUCGGGAGGAACACCAGUGGCGAAGGCGGCCUACUGGGCACCAACUGACGCUGAGGCUCGAAAGUGUGGGUAG